CCUACGGGAGGCAGCAGUGGGGAAUAUUGCGCAAUGGGCGAAAGCCUGACGCAGCGACGCCGCGUGGGUGAUGAAGGCCUUCGGGUUGUAAAGCCCUGUCGGGUGGAACGAACGAUCUGGCGGCGAAUAACCGCCGGGUGUGACGGUACCACCGAAGGAAGCCCCGGCUAACUACGUGCCAGCAGCCGCGGUAAGACGUAGGGGGCGAGCGUUGUUCGGAUUUACUGGGCGUAAUGCGCACGUAGGCGGCGAAUGCCCUCGGCUUAAGCGAGGGCCCGCAUCCGAUACUGUCUGGCUCGAGUCUAGGCGCGGAAAGCGGAAUUCCCAGUGUAGCGGUGAAAUGCGUAGAUAUUGGGAGGAACACCGGUGGCGAAGGCGGCUUUCCGGACUAGUACUGACGCUGAGGCGCGAAAGCUAGGGGAGCGAACGGGAUUAGAUACCCCAGUAGUC
rnacentral:rRNA from 1 species